rnacentral:lncRNA from 1 species
CGGCUCUGAUCAAAGACUCCAGCGUUUCGGUUCUGCUGCUGGAUGAAUUAGACCCACCGGAAGUAGAUGCUGGUGGAGAAAAGGAUGAAUUCUCAGUUCCCACCUUAUCAGAGUAGUCGUUCGCGCAGGGAGCCUGCCUUUCUAACGUGCCAUCAUUGGUCGAAACCCCUCUGGUGUAAGUCUCUCUGGUUACAGCUCUGCUCACUUCCUCAUC